rnacentral:rRNA from 1 species
GACGAACGCUGGCGGCGUGCUUAACACAUGCAAGUCGAACGAAGUGGCGAGCGGGUGAGUAUCACGUGGGUAACCUGCCCUCCUUUUUGAGCUAAGCCUUGGCAACGGGGUUUAAUAAUGAAUACAGGGGGAUGGGCUCGCGGCCUAUCAGCUUGUUGGUGGGGUGAGGGCAUACCAAGGCGGUGACGGGUAGCCGGCCUGAGAGGGUAACCGGCCACAUUGGGACGUAGAGACGGCCCAGGCUACUACUGGGGGGAGCAGUUGGGUAAAUUGCAGAAUGGGCGAAAGCCUGAUGCAGCGACGCCGAGUGGGGGUUGAAGGCUUUCGGGUUGUAAACCUCUUUCGCAAGCGGACGGGUAGGUGGAGAGGAAGCGCCGGCUAACUACGUGCCAGCAGCCGCGGUAAUUC